UGGGGAAUCUUGCGCAAUGGGGGGAACCCUGACGCAGCGACGCCGCGUGCGGGACGGAGGCCUUCGGGUCGUAAACCGCUUUCAGCAGGGAAGAGUCAAGACUGUACCUGCAGAAGAAGCCCCGGCUAACUACGUGCCAGCAGCCGCGGUAAUACGUAGGGGGCGAGCGUUAUCCGGAUUCAUUGGGCGUAAAGCGCGCGUAGGCGGCCCGGCAGGCCGGGGGUCGAAGCGGGGGGCUCAACCCCCCGAAGCCCCCGGAACCUCCGCGGCUUGGGUCCGGUAGGGGAGGGUGGAACACCCGGUGUAGCGGUGGAAUGCGCAGAUAUCGGGUGGAACACCGGUGGCGAAGGCGGCCCUCUGGGCCGAGACCGACGCUGAGGCGCGAAAGCUGGGGGAGCGA
rnacentral:rRNA from 1 species